UACGUAGGGGGCAAGCGUUGUCCGGAAUCAUUGGGCGUAAAGAGCGUGUAGGCGGUCCGGUAAGUCCGUUGUGAAAGUCGGGGGCUCAACCCUCGGAUGCCGGUGGAUACUGUCGGACUAGAGUACGGAAGAGGCGAGUGGAAUUCCUGGUGUAGCGGUGAAAUGCGCAGAUAUCAGGAGGAACACCGAUUGCGAAGGCAGCUCGCUGGGACGGUACUGACGCUAAGGCGCGAAAGCGUGGGGAGCGAACAGG
rnacentral:rRNA from 1 species